CCACAGUGUGCCACAGUAAGGAACAAAAGUACUCCACAGUGUGUUACUUUGAGAAACAAAAAUAAUUAUAUAUACUAUUAAUCGUCAAUAGAAUUAUGCAAGCACAAACAAUAUUUUUUGAAGAAUAAACGUUUAUAAUUAUUAAAACCUCCCACAACUCAACAAGAUUUUUAAAAUUAUUACUCUAGUACACUGAACUAUAUGUAUACAUGGAUGGAAGGUUAUUACUUUAGUGACUUUAGCCAAAAUGGCGGCUCGAUCGGGAAGUCAUUCUCGGACGUCAAUUUUAUAAUAAGUUCCAGACUUUACUGUAAUAGUUUCAGUUGGCAGGUUUCAGUUCGUUUGAGCUGAUAAACCUUCAAUGUACAGUAUAUAAUAGUUCAGUUGUACUGUAAUACAUGCAUCUACAUGCACCAAUUGAAAAAUGAAAUCAGAUAAAGUCUUAAAAGAUCAAAGAGGUAAGAUAAAACAGUCUUAAUAUAUCUAUAUAUAUAGUGUUUAAUUAAGGCCAUGAGGCAAUUUUUGGUGCAACUUGCAAUGCAACUUCUGGCAUAUAUAGCAAUGUUAUGUAAAACGUAAUCAGAGUAAAUUUAAGGUCGCUGAAUCUCAGUUAAUACUUUUUAUGUGAUGUUAUUAUAAAUAUACUGUACAUCAAUCUAUGUGGCAGAAGUUGCAACGAAAAUUGCCUCGUGUAAGAUUGCUUAAAAUGGCUAUAGCACAUUUUAAUACUUAGCAGUUUCAAUCAUCAUCUUCGAUCAUAAUUGUAUUGAGCUUGUUCACAAAUAGGUUAUCACAGAAGCCAGUAGCUUCUUGCUGUUGUUUAUGUUUAUGUUUAGUAGCUUUAGUACAUAAGACUACCUGGGUACUGUCCAUAUAAGUACAUAAUUUGUAGCCACAGAUGCCACAGCUACAUCUACCAGCCAUCUUCAGAAGAUAUAAAGGACCAUGGUUUCGGCAACAACGGCCAUCAAUCUCGUCGCAGUCGUUGCAGUUUUCAAUGUUUCCCUUUAUCAGAAUUUGGGGGGUUACCAUGCAUAUUACAAGCUGACAGCAUCCUCAAAGCUUUCAUCCUUAUGCCAAAAUAAGAAAUGUAGUGAGAUUACACAUUUAAUUUUUAUUUACAUGCAGCAUGCCUGGCACAAGCAUGUCACAGUAUAUAUAUAAGGCCAAAUUAAAUAAAAACUUGGCAUCACCGCUCGCCUCUCGAUUUCUGCUGCCUCUUUUUUAUGUAAAUCUCUUCGUUUUACAGCUUAAACAGUUUAAUAUUUGAAUUUUUUUCAUGCUCAGACCUUCGCGCUAUAUAUACUGAUCGAUAGGAGCGUGUGGGCUUGGGUAUACAGAAUUCUUAUAGUAAAAUUGCACCAUUCGCAACAUCAGUACAAAAAAUUUCACCGAUAUGGUACAAAAACCGCCCCCAUCCCCCCUUUAAAAAUUUAAAAAUGUGACGCUAACCAAAUAUUUUUUUCAUUUGGCCUAAGCACAGGUUCGCAGAAGCUAGCUUCACCAUUCCCCCCAAUGGGCAAACCCAUGUAGUAAUUGUUUCUUACUGAGUUAAUACUUAAUGAAUUAAUAUAAGUAAAAAUAUAUAUAAUUUAUAUACAAGUACAUUUUAGUUCAUGAAAUGCUAAAAACUGCUGAAUGCUAAAAUAUAUCUUUCAUUUGCUACCGGUAUACACAGUAUUUGACCAUGCAAAAUAGAAAAUUGUCAAUAUUUAUACAGAAGGUAUAUAUCCAUGCAUCUCCCCUUUCAUGAGCAUGCAGCUUGUUUGACCAUGCCACUCAAAAGUGGUGCUGGUAAAAGGUGGCAAGUACCAGCCUUACAAAACAACAGUAAACUGCAUCAGCAUAGAUUUGUUCCCGCUGAUAGAUGGCUUUAAGAUGUGCCAGCUGAGUGAGCUAUUGGUCAAAGGCGGCAAGUACCAGCCUUACACAAAAGCUGAAAACAGCACUACUAAAUAAAGAUCAAAAUUCAAAACAAACUGUAUUGUUGUUUAAGUUCAUUACCUUUGCUGUUUUAACUCGCAUGUUCAUUUUUGUUUAAUAUAAGUAAAAAUAUAUAUAAAGUAUUAUGCAAGUACAUUUUGGUUCAUGCAAUAUGCUAAAAAAGUGCUAAAUAUCAUAUAGAUAGAGCAAAAUAUACUGUAUGUAUAUAUAUAAUGCUAACCUACUGUUUCUUUCAUUUGCUAUAUCUUUGACCAUGCAAAAUAGAAAAUUGUCAAUACAGAAGGUAUACAUUCAUCCAUCUCCCCUUUCAUGAGUGGCUUGUUUGACCAUGCCACGUCAAAAGAAGUGCUGGUAAAAGGUGGCAAGUACCAGCCUUACACAACAACAGUAAACUGCAUCAGCAUGAAUGUAUACAAGCUUUGAAUUAUGUCAUAGCAGUUCCCACUGACAGGUGGCUCUAAGAUGUGCCACCUGAGUGAGCUAUUGGUCAAAGGCGGCAAGUACCAGCCUUACACAAAAGCCGAAAACAGCACUACGAAGAUCAAAAUUCAAAACAAACUGUAUUGUUAUUUAAGUUCAUUACCUUUGCUGUUUUAAUUAACUCACAAGUUCAUUUUGUCUAAUAUAAGUAAAAUUGUAAUUAUUGUAAUUGUAAUAUAUAUAAUUUAUAUACGAGUACAUUUUGGUUCAUGAAAUGCUAAAAAGUGCUAUUUUUAAAUUAUCAUAUAGAUAGAGGAAAAUAUACUGCAUGCAUGUGUAUAUACUAACCUACUGUUUCUUUCAUUUGCUAUAUAUUUGACCAUGUUGCAAAAUAGAAAAUUGUCAAUACAGAAGGUAUACAUUCAUGCAUCUCCCCUUUCAUGAGCGGCUUGUUUGACCAUGCCACUCAAAAGAAGUGCUGGUAAAAGGCGGCAAGUACCAGCCUUACACAACAACAGUAAACUGCAUCAGCAUGAAUGUAUACAAGCUUUGAAUUAUGCCAUAGCAGUUCCCACUGACAGGUGGCUCUAAGAUGUGCCACCUGAGUGAGCUAUUGGUCAAAGGCAGCAAGUACCAGCCUUACACAAAAGCUGAAAACAGCACUACUAAGAUCAAAAUUCAAAACAAACUGUAUUGUUAUUUAAGUUCAUUACCUUUGCUGUUUUAACUCACAAGUUCAUUUUGUCUAAUAUAAGUAAAAUUGUAAUUAUUUAAUAUACCGUAUAUAAUUUAUAUACGAGUACAUUUUGGUUCAUGAAAUGCUAAAAAGUGCUAUUUUUAAAUUAUCAUAUAGUGUAGAUAGAGGAAAAUAUACUGCAUGCAUAUGUAUAUACUAACCUACUGUUUAUUUCAUUUGCUAUAUAUUUGACCAUGAUGCAAAAUAGAAAAUUGUCAAUACAGAAGGUAUACAUCCAUGCAUCUCCCCUUUCAUGAGCGGCUUGUUUGACCAUGCCACUCAAAAGAAGUGCUGGUAAAAGGCGGCAAGUACCAGCCUUACACAACAACAGUAAACUGCAUCAGCAUGAAUGUAUACAAGCUUUGAAUUAUGUCAUAGCAGUUCCCACUGACAGGUGGCUCUAAGAUGUGCCACCUGAGUGAGCUAUUGGUCAAAGGCGGCAAGUACCAGCCUUACACAAAAGCCGAAAACAGCACUACUAAGAUCAAAAUUCAAAACAAACUGUAUUGUUAUUUAAGUUCAUUACCUUUGCUGUUUUAAUUAACUCACAAGUUCAUUUUGUCUAAUAUAAGUAAAAUUGUAAUUAUUGUAAUUGUAAUAUAUAUAAUUUAUAUACGAGUACAUUUUGGUUCAUGAAAUGCUAAAAAGUGCUAUUUUUAAAUUAUCAUAUAGAUAGAGGAAAAUAUACUGCAUGCAUAUGUAUAUACUAACCUACUGUUUCUUUCAUUUGCUAUAUAUUUGACCAUGAUGCAAAAUAGAAAAUUGUCAAUACAGAAGGUAUACAUUCAUGCAUCUCCCCUUUCAUGAGCGGCUUGUUUGACCAUGCCACUCAAAAGAAGUGCUGGUAAAAGGCGGCAAGUACCAGCCUUACACAACAACAGUAAACUGCAUCAGCAUGAAUGUAUACAAGCUUUGAAUUAUGCCAUAGCAGUUUCCACUGACAGGUGGCUCUAAGAUGUGCCACCUGAGUGAGCUAUUGGUCAAAGGCGGCAAGUACCAGCCUUACACAAAAGCUGAAAACAGCACUACUAAGAUUAAAAUUCAAAACAAACUGUGUUUAAGUUCAUUACUAUAUUGCUGUUUUAACCCACAAGUUCGUUUCUAUUAAUAAAUCCUACUGUUUCCUCCUUUACUAUAUUUCGACUAUGCAAAGUUAAAAAUCAUGCACCCCCUCAUCUGAGUCAAAGAUUUCAUGUAGAAAACUGUGGAAAAGAGACUUCCAGAGUCAACUUUUAAGGCCAACCAUACCUCUCAUACAUGUUACACUAGAUAUAGUAGCUGCUGCGUGAUCAUUGGAUCACCGUUCUGCAUAACCUGCUAUAUUAUUGACUUUCAAGCUGUUUUAAAAAUAUGAAAGUAAAACCAACCUUGAUCGUUGAGCCAAGCUUGUCCAUCAAUCAUAUUGUCUAAAAAAUCAGUGAAUGUCAUCUUAAUUAUUCUUUUCAUGUUUCCCUUUAGUUUCUGAAUGGCGAAUAACAGUUUUACCAUGCAUUCGUAAUAGGUGUCAAGUUUUAGCGUUACAAUAUAAAGCCAACAUAGUAGGAUGAAUAUUAUUGCCUUCCUAUCUGCAUAUAAUUUGGAAUUUAGCCGUUGGCGAGCAAUUGAAAAUAAUUUUCACAUUGGGGAACAUAGCUACUCACAUAUUGUCACAUGCGACCCUUUGUUAUAUAAUAAACGUUAUAAACCUAGGCAUAUUAAAUAUUUACACUCGGUCCUUCUGAUCAAUCUGAUGUCUGGCAAUGAUCAUAUUACUAACAGCAAAUUUCGCACGAAUGGUGAUUCAAAAGAAGGAUUUUACGUGCAAACACCAUAAUCAAUGCUGUACAGUUAAAUAGCACCUAGCGUUUACAUUUUUUAAUAGAUUGGGUCACAGUGCGGUGAACAUAUACUGAAAAUUUGCAGAAGAUAGUGCCGGUACAUAUGACACACCGGAGGCGUUUCAAAAACGCGGCGCGAUUUUUGAAUUUUCAAAGUAAAUGAAACCGCUAACGAAAGGAACGUUUAAAAUAUAUAUACCAAAUGACUCAAUAUGUUAGAGCGCAAUCUUUGAAAAACUUAAAUCCGGAUCAAAGUUACAUAUAUCGAUGAGAAUCGAAAAAUAGCGCCGCGUUGCCGAAUUGCGUCGUCUGUCUGCUCGCGGCACAAUAUGCCCAUCGUAGAACAUACCUUUAAAACUUUCACAGUAGUCGGCAAAGUCAACUUUGAUCAACCACUCUCGAACGUCUUUCUUUAACAUCUUCAACAAAUAAAUUCUUGUUGUGUUCAACAAAAAUUAGAUGACUCGAGCGCCUUUGCAGUGAACACGUUGACUGACCAUGGACCGACAGAUUGACAGAAUAUAGGAUGCAAUUUGACUAUGCCGCGUUUACAGCCCGCAUGGAUUUCUCCAUCGAUGAUUGGUUAAUGGCUGGAACGUUAGUUAUACUAUAAUUAGGAAGUUUGUAACAAAGACCGUGCAAAGACCCACAUCAUGUAUAACACUUCUCCUAGACGAUUUAUGAAAAGGGAAAAGUGUGACAGGACGUGAGUGUAUUGCUAGAGGAUUAACACGAAAAGAGCAAAAUAUUUUGCUAGAUUUAAAACCUGAAUCAAUCUAAACGAUUAUAAUAUUAUCUAUUAAGAAUUAAUUAAAGUAAAAUUUCCAUUUAUUAUUCAACUUUCUGUUGCAGGACUUGGGUUAAGUCAAGAUUUUUGGCAGUGGCUAUUCUGAAGGUUGUGUCAUUAUUACUAGUCAACCUUUGGUAAAAUAAGUAAAGUUUUACUUGCGAUGGGAAACAUUAUAUUUCCAGCCCCUUGGCAUCCACCAAGAUUUGAUAAUGCAAAUAAACUGUUCGUUGUUUUGCGCUAUGGAUUAGAUUGCUUACAAUAAACUGUUAAUAUUUGCUUAACUUGAAAGUUGCACAAAAUAAUGCAGAUUUAUGUAACUGUAUAGCUACUGAUAUGAGAUAAUAUGAAAAUUGGUUUUGUUAAUCAAAAUGUAUUAAAUGGUAUAUAGUUUCAUACUUAGUUUGUUUACAAGAUUUGUCAUAAAUUAUCGGUAUUAUAUUAAGAAUUUGAGUUGGUGAAAUUUACUCAACCGGGCUUGACUACUUAAUAUAAGUAGAGUAAAUGUUGUCAUUUACCGGCAGUGCUGAGUAAAUUAUACUGAUCUUCUUGAGUAAAGCUGUUGUUUACUCUUUACUCAAAAUUUGAGUACAUACUUCAUGCAUG